rnacentral:rRNA from 1 species
GACGAACGCUGGCGGCGUGCCUAAUACAUGCAAGUAGAACGCAGUUGCGAACGGGUGAGUAACGCGUAGGUAACUGCCUCAUAGCGGGGGAUAACUAUUGGAAACGCUAGCUAAUACCGCAUACUGUGAGAUGGACCUGCGUUGUAUUAGCUAGUUGGUGAGGUAAAGGCUCACCAAGGCUACGAUACAUAGCCGACCUGAGAGGGUGGUCGGCCAAACGGGGACGGAGAAACGGCGCAGAAUCCUACGGGAGGCAGCAGUAGGGAAUCUUCGGCAAUGGACGGAAGUCUGACCGAGCAACGACGAGUGAGUGAAGAAGGUGUUCGGAUCGGAAAGCUCUGUUGUUAGAGAAGCGGUACCUAACCAGAAAGGGACGGGUAACUACGUGCCAGCAGCCGCGGUAAUUC